rnacentral:rRNA from 1 species
CCUACGGGAGGCAGCAGUGGGGAAUAUUGGACAAUGGGGGGAACCCUGAUCCAGUGACGCCGCGUGAGUGAAGAAGUAUUUCGGUAUGUAAAGCUCUAUCAGCAGGGAAGAAAGAAAUGACGGUACCUGACUAAGAAGCCCCGGCUAACUACGUGCCAGCAGCAGCGGUAAUACGUAGGGGGCAAGAGUUAUCCGGAUUUACUGGGUGUAAAGGGAGCGUAGACGGGGAUGCAAGUCUGAAGUGAAAGGCGGGGGCCCAACCCCCGGACUGCUUUGGAGACUGUAUGGCUGGAGUGCAGGAGAGGUAAGUGGAAUUCCUAGUGUAGCGGUGAAAUGCGUAGAGAUUAGGAGGAACACCAGUGGCGAAGGCGGCUUACUGGGCUGUAACUGACGUUGAGGCUCGAAAGCGUGGGUAGCAAACAGGAUUAGAUACCCCAGUAGUC